UUUUGCGGCGUGCUUUACACAUGCAAGUCGAACGGUGAAGCCAAGCUUGCUUGGUGGAUCAGUGGCGAACGGGUGAGUAACACGUGAGCAACCUGCCCUGGACUCUGGGAUAAGCGCUGGAAACGGCGUCUAAUACUGGAUAUGAGCUCUCAUCGCAUGGUGGGGGUUGGAAAGAUUUUUUGGUCUGGGAUGGGCUCGCGGCCUAUCAGCUUGUUGGUGAGGUAAUGGCUCACCAAGGCGUCGACGGGUAGCCGGCCUGAGAGGGUGACCGGCCACACUGGGACUGAGACACGGCCCAGACUCCUACGGGAGGCAGCAGUGGGGAAUAUUGCACAAUGGGCGAAAGCCUGAUGCAGCAACGCCGCGUGAGGGAUGACGGCCUUCGGGUUGUAAACCUCUUUUAGCAGGGAAGAAGCGAAAGUGACGGUACCUGCAGAAAAAGCGCCGGCUAACUACGUGCCAGCAGCCGCGGUAAUACGUAGGGCGCAAGCGUUAUCCGGAAUUAUUGGGCGUAAAGAGCUCGUAGGCGGUUUGUCGCGUCUGCUGUGAAAUCCCGAGGCUCAACCUCGGGCCUGCAGUGGGUACGGGCAGACUAGAGUGCGGUAGGGGAGAUUGGAAUUCCUGGUGUAGCGGUGGAAUGCGCAGAUAUCAGGAGGAACACCGAUGGCGAAGGCAGAUCUCUGGGCCGUAACUGACGCUGAGGAGCGAAAGGGUGGGGAGCAAACAGGCUUAGAUACCCUGGUAGUCCACCCCGUAAACGUUGGGAACUAGUUGUGGGGACCAUUCCACGGUUUCCGUGACGCAGCUAACGCAUUAAAGUUCCCCGCCUGGGGAGUACGGCCGCAAGGCUAAAACUCAAAGGAAUUGACGGGGACCCGCACAGCGGCGGAGCAUGCGGAUUAAUUCGAUGCACCGCUAAAACCUUACCAAGGCUUGACAUACACCAAACCGGGCAGAAAUGGUCCACUCUUUGGACACUGGUGAACAGGUGGGGCAUGGU
rnacentral:rRNA from 1 species